rnacentral:rRNA from 1 species
AGCCAUCAUUUAAAGAGUGCGUAAUAGCUCACUAGUCGAGUGACACUGCGCCGAAAAUGUACCGGGGCUAAACAUAUUACCGAAGCUGUGGAUUGUCCUUCGGACAAUGGUAGGAGAGCGUUCUAAGGGCGUUGAAGCAUGAUCGCAAGGACAUGUGGAGCGCUUAGAAGUGAGAAUGCCGGUGUGAGUAGCGAAAGACGGGUGAGAAUCCCGUCCACCGAUUGACUAAGGUUUCCAGAGGAAGGCUCGUCCGCUCUGGGUUAGUCGGGUCCUAAGCUGAGGCCGACAGGCGUAGGCGAUGGAUAACAGGUUGAUAUUCCUGUACCACCUAGUAUCGUUUUAAUCGAUGGGGGGACGCAGUAGGAUAGGCGAAGCGUGCUGUUGGAGUGCACGUCCAAGCAGUAAGGCUGAGUGUUAGGCAAAUCCGGCACUCGUUAGGCUGAGCUGUGAUGGGGAGAGGAAAUUGUUUCCUCGAGUCGUUGAUUUCACACUGCCGAGAAAAGCCUCUAGAUAGAUAACAGGUGCCCGUACCGCAAACCGACACAGGUAGUCAAGAUGAGAAUUCUAAGGUGAGCGAGCGAACUCUCGUUAAGGAACUCGGCAAAAUGACCCCGUAACUUCGGGAGAAGGGGUGCUCUUUAGGGUUCACGCCCAGAAGAGCCGCAGUGAAUAGGCCCAAGCGACUGUUUAUCAAAAACACAGGUCUCUGCUAAACCGUAAGGUGAUGUAUAGGGGCUGACGCCUGCCCGGUGCUGGAAGGUUAAGAGGAGUGGUUAGCUUCUGCGAAGCCACGAAUCGAAGCCCC